rnacentral:rRNA from 1 species
AACGAACGCUGGCGGCAUGCCUAACACAUGCAAGUCGAACGACAGCUUCGGGUCUCUUGGCGCACGGGUGCGUAACGCGUGGCAACCUGCCCUUAUGUUCGGAAUAACUCCCCGAAAGGGGUUCUAUUAUCGGAUAAUUUCUUCCUACCAAAGAUUUAUCGCCUUUGGAUGGGCCGGCGUUGGGUUCCCUAGUUUGUACGAUAGAAGCCUACCAAGGUUACGAUCCGUAGCUGGUCAGAGAGGAAGAUCAGACACACUGGUACUGGGACGCGGCGCGGAAUACUAGGGAAGGGGGGCAUGGGGAAUAUUGGAAAAUGGGCGAAAGGAUGAACCAGCAAUGGUGCGUAAGUGAUGAAGGCAUUAGGGAAGUAAAGCUCUUUUAAAUGAGAAGAUAAUGACGGUACCGGAAGAAUAAGCACCGGCUAACUACGUG